AUUCCUCAUCCUCCCAGAGAGAUCCUCUUAUGGAGGCCACCUAAACAAUGCUUUUCCAUUCAAGGGUAUCAGGAGCACUUGAGCAGUUGUUGCUGGAAGAGGAAUUAUGGCCUCCUCCAUAAUUAGGGGAGGGUGGAGGCUGGUGAUUUCUGCCUUGGGGACAGGCAGGUCCAAGUAAGGAGUCCUGCGAAUUCCUUCCCUUUCUGCCCGGUACACUCCCAAUCUGGGGUGAUUGCUGCGGUUAAGAUUACCCAAUAUAGAUGUUUGAAGGCUGUUAACCAGGUCAGAGGUAUGAGAAAAAGAAAGGCUUUUUCUUAUCAUGUGCUAUGAAGAGAGUCUGAGGUCAGAAGCAUUUUGGGUCAAGGAUUUCAUUAACAGCUUUCUUCCCCUACCCUUUUGGGUUUACUUCUGCCUCAGACUCUCUUGAGCGUAUGUUUGGUUUCAGUUUUGUGCCAGUUUCUAACACCAUAGCAGGUUGUGAUUAGGAUGACUGUCUUUAUAAAAGUUAUUUGAAAGUCAGGUUUGAACAAGACACUCACACGUUCUUUGCAAAGGAUGUUAAGCUUGUCGACUGGAAGCCUGCCUGCCAGAACAAGAUCUUCUGCACACACCAGAAACAAUCUGCUAUUGUCUCCAGGGGUAAAAUGGUGCCAACAAAAAAAUCAAAAUUUUAGCCAAAUACUGCAUUAACUGCUUCACCACUGAAGGUAAUUAUGGGAAGGGAUUGAGAAGGUAAAAACCUCUUUUGUUUUCAGCCUAGAAAUACACACACUGCACAAAUGUGGUACCCAGAGCACAGCUGCCCUGUUAGACCAGAGCAAGUGGUUCAUUCCCCAUGCAGGAACUUGUCAGGGUUAGAGCUCUUCCUUUAUUCUGAAAGUUCUUAAUGAUGCCAGGGGAGGAGGCUGAAUGUCCCCGCCGCCCCCACCCCGUUUCCGCUGUGCUGAUCUUGGUCCCAGAAGCUGUUACCUCAGAGACGGUUCCAUGCCAGGACUUUGGGGAAGAUAGAAGAGUGUGCAUAGCUUUUAGGACAUUCUUCAGGGAAGAGCACAAAAUGCAGUGUCUAUGGCGAAAACCAGGGAAAGAGAAGAAAGAGAGCAAAGACCAAAAAAGUAAACUGAAACAGAUAAACCAAGAAGGACUUCAUGCUUCAUGUGUUGGUCCCAACCCAACUUCCCACUGCUGCUCUUCUGACAAAUGAACAUGAUUCUGCUCUUACCUGCCUCUAUCUGUAUGUAUGUUUUAUAAGUUUUAUAAGUUAAAAAUUUUACACAUUUUUGCUAG
rnacentral:lncRNA from 13 species